GUUUCUAUAGUUGAAUAACAACGGUGGUUUUUCAUAUCGCCAGUCAUGGUUAAAUUCCAUGUGGAAAUA
rnacentral:tRNA from 2 species